rnacentral:rRNA from 1 species
UCAUUACCGAGUUUACAACUCCCAAACCCAAUGUGAACGUUACCAAACUGUUGCCUCGGCGGGAUCUCUGCCCCGGGUGCGUCGCAGCCCCGGACCAAGGCGCCCGCCGGAGGACCAACCAAAACUCUUAUUGUAUACCCCCUCGCGGGUUUUUUUAUAAUCUGAGCCUUCUCGGCGCCUCUCGUAGGCGUUUCGAAAAUGAAUCAAAACUUUCAACAACGGAUCUCUUGGUUCUGGCAUCGAUGAAGAACGCAGCGAAAUGCGAUAAGUAAUGUGAAUUGCAGAAUUCAGUGAAUCAUCGAAUCUUUGAACGCACAUUGCGCCCGCCAGUAUUCUGGCGGGCAUGCCUGUCCGAGCGUCAUUUCAACCCUCGAACCCCUCCGGGGGGUCGGCGUUGGGGAUCGGCCCUCCCUUAGCGGGGUGGCCGUCUCCGAAAUACAGUGGCGGUCUCGCCGCAGCCUCUCCUGCGCAGUAGUUUGCACACUCGCAUCGGGAGCGCGGCGCGUCCACAGCCGUUAA